GCGUCGGUGAUGUAACGGUUCAAGCACGCGCCUUCGGAUAGGGUGAAAUUUGAGUUCGAUUCCCAGCUGACGCA